rnacentral:rRNA from 1 species
UACAGAGGUCUCAAGCGUUGUUCGGAUUCAUUGGGCGUAAAGGGUGCGUAGGCGGCGCGGUAAGUCGGGUGUGAAAUUUCGGAGCUUAACUCCGAAACUGCAUUCGAUACUGCCGGGCUUGAGGACUGGAGAGGAGACUGGAAUUUACGGUGUAGCAGUGAAAUGCGUAGAGAUCGUAAGGAAGACCAGUGGCGAAGGCGGGUCUCUGGACAGUUCCUGACACUGAGGCACGAAGGCCAGGGGAGCAAACGGG